CAGCAGCCGCGGUAAUACGGAGGAUCCGAGCGUUAUCCGGAUUUAUUGGGUUUAAAGGGAGCGUAGAUGGAUGUUUAAGUCAGUUGUGAAAGUUUGCGGCUCAACCGUAAAAUUGCGGUUGAUACUGGAUAUCUUGAGUGCAGUUGAGGCAGGCGGAAUUCGUGGUGUAGCGGUGAAAUGCUUAGAUAUCACGAAGAACUCCGAUUGCGAAGGCAGCCUGCUAAGCUGCAACUGACAUUGAGGCUCGAAAGUGUGGGUAUCAAACAGGAUUAGAUACC
rnacentral:rRNA from 1 species